rnacentral:rRNA from 1 species
GCGAAGCCUGAUCAGCCAUGCCGCGUGAAUGAUGAAGGCCUUAGGGUUGUAAAAUUCUUUCAGCAGGGAAGAUAAUGACGGUACCUGCAGAAGAAGCCCCGGCUAACUCCGUGCCAGCAGCCGCGGUAAUACGGAGGGGGCUAGCGUUGUUCGGAAUUACUGGGCGUAAAGCGCUCGUAGGCGGAUUGGUCAGUCAGGGGUGAAAGCCCGGAGCUCAACUCCGGAACUGCCUUUGAUACUGCCAGUCUUGAGUUCGGGAGAGGUGAGCGGAAUACCGAGUGUAGAGGUGAAAUUCGUAGAUAUUCGGUGGAACACCAGAGGCGAAGGCGGCUCACUGGACCGAUACUGACGCUGAGGAGCGAAAGCGUGGGGAGCAAACAGGAUUAGAUACCCUGGUAGUCCACGCCGUAAACGAUGAGAGCUAGUUGUCUGGCAGCAUGCUGUUAGGUGACGCAGCUAACGCAUUAAGCUCUCCGCCUGGGGAGUACGGCCGCAAGGUUAAAACUCAAAUG